CCCGAUGAAUGCAUGGGCGCAGCCUGAUGCAGCCAUGCCGCGUGUGUGAAGAAGGCCUUCGGGUUGUAAAGCACUUUCAGUAAGGAGGAAAGGUUGGAUGUUAAUAGCAUUCAGCUGUGACGUUACUUACAGAAGAAGCACCGGCUAACUCCGUGCCAGCAGCCGCGGUAAUACGGAGGGUGCGAGCGUUAAUCGGAAUUACUGGGCGUAAAGCGUACGCAGGCGGUUUGUUAAGCGAGAUGUGAAAGCCCCGGGCUCAACCUGGGAACUGCAUUUCGAACUGGCAAACUAUAGUGUGAUAGAGGGUGGUAGAAUUUCAGGUGUAGCGGUGAAAUGCGUAGAGAUCUGAAGGAAUACCGAUGGCGAAGGCAGCCACCUGGGUCAACACUGACGCUCAUGUACGAAAGCGUGGGGAGCAAACAGGAUUAGAUACCCUGGUAGUCCACGCCGUAAACGAUGUCUACUAGAAGCUCGGUUCCUCGGAACUGUUUUUCAAAGCUAACGCAUUAAGUAGACCGCCUGGGGAGUACGGCCGCAAGGUUAAAACUCAAAUGAAUUGACGGGGGCCCGCACAAGCGGUGGAGCAUGUGGUUUAAUUCGAUGCAACGCGAAGAACCUUACCUACACUUGACAUACACAGAACUUACCAGAAAUGGUUUGGUGCCUUCGGGAACUCUGAUACAGGUGCUGCAUGGCUGUCGUCAGCUCGUGUUGUGAGAUGUUGGGUUAAGUCCCGCAACGAGCGCAACCCCUAUCCUUAGUUGCCAGCGAUUCGGUCGGGAACUCUAAGGAGACUGCCGGUGAUAAACCGGAUGAUGGUGGGGACGACGUCAAGUCAUCAUGGCCCUUACGUGUAGGGCUACACACGUGCUACAAUGGCGCAUACAGAGUGCUGCCAACCUGCGAGGGUAAGCGAAUCACUUAAAGUGCGUCGUAGUCCGGAUUGGAGUCUGCAACUCGACUCCAUGAAAUCAGAAUCGCUAGUAAUCGCGUAUCACAUGACGCGGUGAAUACGUUUCCCGGGCCUUGUACACACCGUCUCGUCACACAUGGGAGUGGGAUCGCUCCAGAAGUGAUAGUUCUAACCCUUCGAGUAGGACGUUCACCACGGAGUGAUUCCAUGACUGGGCAGUGAAGUCGUACACAC
rnacentral:rRNA from 1 species